UACAGAGGUCCCGAGCGUUGUUCGGAUUCAUUGGGCGUAAAGGGUGCGUAGGUGGCGCCGUAAGUCGGGUGUGAAAUUUCGGAGCUUAACUCCGAAACUGCAUUCGAUACUGCGGUGCUUGAGGACUGGAGAGGAGACUGGAAUUCAUGGUGUAGCAGUGAAAUGCGUAGAGAUCAUGAGGAAGACCAGUGGCGAAGGCGGGUCUCUGGACAGUGACUGACGCUGAGACGCGAAAGCGUGGGGAGCAAACAGG
rnacentral:rRNA from 1 species